GACGAACGCUGGCGGCGUGCUUAACACAUGCAAGUCGAACGAUGAAGCGCCUUCCUUGUUGGUGGGUGGGGAUGGGUGGCGGGCGGGUGAAUAACAGGUGAGUAACCUUCCCCCUUCUUCUGGAUAACCGCAUGCCGGUGUGGCUAAUACGGGAUAUUCUGAGUCUGUCGCUUGAUUGGUCUAGGAAGGAUUUGGUGUCGGUGGGGGAUGGACUCGCGCCCUAUCAGCUUGUUGGUGAGGUGAUGGCCUACCAAGGCGAUGAGGAGUAGCCGGCCUGAGAGGGUCGGCGGUACCAGUGCGACUGCGCCACGGACAAGACUCCGACGGGCGGCAGUAGGGAGGAAUAUGGCACAAUGGGCGGAAGCCUGAUGCAGCGCCGCGUCGGGAGUGAUGGUGGCCGGCGGGUAGUGCACCUCUUUCGCCAGUGAAGAAGGCUUUCCUCGUCUGUGCGUGUGUUGACGGUAGCUGGAUAAGAAGCGCCGGCUAACUACGUG
rnacentral:rRNA from 1 species